CAGCUUCUGGACGUUGCGUUGGAAAGUUUCAUGAACCUUAUCACUUAGAGGAAGGAGAAGUCGUAACAAGGUUUCCGUAGGUGAAACUGCGGAAGGAUCAUUCGCACUAUCCAAAACUUGUCGUGAACCUGGCUGAAUGCGACUGCUUGCGAAUUUGUUUUCGCAAGCGGAAGCUAUGGGCGAAUGGAGGUAUUCGGAGCUGCACUGUGUGCAUGUUCUGGGUGCUGCCCAUCGUCAUUGGUCCCUCUUGGACCUUCCACAACUUGAACUACUCUUGUUUCAGCUUGUGUCAAGAACGAUUGGAUUACAAUUUUCAGCGACGGAUAUCUUGGCUCGAGCACCUAUGAAGGGCGCAGCGAAGUGCGAUAAUCGUUGUGAAUUGCAGAACUCCGUGAACCAAUGGCCUCUUGAACGUGCAUUGCGCUCUUGGGAUAUGCCUGAGAGCAUGUCUGCUUCAGUGCUUCUACUUUCAUUUUCUGCUGCUCUUGUUAUCAGGAGCAGUGUUGCUGCAUGCUUCUGCAAGUGGCACUGGCAUGCUAAAUAUCAAGUUUUGCUUGCUGUUGUGACUGAUCAACAUCUCAUGUCGUUUCAGUUGGCGAAACAAAAGCUCAUGUGUGUUCUUAACACUUCCUAGCAUGAAGUCAGACAAGUGAACCCGCCGAAUUUAAGCAUAUAAGUAGG
rnacentral:rRNA from 1 species